UACCAGCACCCCGAGUUGUCGGGACGAUUAUUGGGCCUAAAGCAUCCGUAGCCUGUUCUGCAAGUCCUCCGUUAAAUCCACCCGCUUAACGGAUGGACUGCGGGGGAUACUGCAGAGCUAGGAGGCGGGAGAGGCAAACGGUACUCAGUGGGUAGGGGUAAAAUCCAUUGAUCUACUGAAGACCACCAGUGGCGAAGGCGGUUUGCCAGAACGCGCUCGACGGUGAGGGAUGAAAGCUGGGGGAGCAAACCGG
rnacentral:rRNA from 1 species